rnacentral:rRNA from 1 species
AGAGUUUGAUCAUGGCUCAGGACGAACGCUGGCGGCGUGCUUAACACAUGCAAGUCGAACGAGGCCCUGCCUUCGGGCAGGUGACCUAGUGGCGAACGGGUGAGUAACACGUGGGCAACCUACCCUCAGCUCUGGGAUAACCCCGGGAAACCGGAGCUAAUACCGGAUACGACCAGAUUGGACAUCCUUUCUGGUGGAAAGUUUUUCGGCUGAGGAUGGGCCCGCGGCCUAUCAGCUUGUUGGUGGGGUAACGGCCCACCAAGGCGACGACGGGUAGCCGGCCUGAGAGGGCGAACGGCCACACUGGGACUGAGACACGGCCCAGACUCCUACGGGAGGCAGCAGUGGGGAAUAUUGCGCAAUGGGCGAAAGCCUGACGCAGCGACGCCGCGUGAGGGAUGAAGGCCUUCGGGUUGUAAACCUCUUUCAGCAGGGACGAAGCGAAAGUGACGGUACCUGCAGAAGAAGCACCGGCCAACUACGUGCCAGCAGCCGCGGUAAUACGUAGGGUGCAAGCGUUGUCCGGAAUUAUUGGGCGUAAAGAGCUCGUAGGCGGUUUGUCGCGUCGGCUGUGAAAACUCGGGGCUCAACCCCGAGCCUGCAGUCGAUACGGGCAAACUAGAGUGUGGUAGGGGAGACUGGAAUUCCUGGUGUAGCGGUGAAAUGCGCAGAUAUCAGGAGGAACACCGGCGGCGAAGGCGGGUCUCUGGGCCAUAACUGACGCUGAGGAGCGAAAGCGUGGGGAGCGAACAGGAUUAGAUACCCCCGUAGUCC